AGACAACAGUUCCACUGGGAAACAAAUCAAAGGAAGUGAUUGAUCAGCAUUGCUGUUGGAAGGGGGAGGAAACAGUGUUUUGCGUGGAUAUAUGUGUACCAAAUUCACCAAGGAAGUCAGAAGAGAGCGUCAGACACCCUGAACGUGGAGUUGCCGUGUAGGUGCUGGGAACCAAACCCAGGUCCUUCGCAAGAGCAGCCAGGUUGGGGCUUUGCUAAACAUCACUGCUCUUAAAUGUGGGUUUCUGAGCAAGCGUCUUCCAAGAGGAUACUUUGAGCUGUGGAAAUGCGGUCAAAAGCCAUUUUAUAGGCCUUGAUGGAAGCUGCCAGUGUUUGGUGAAAGGCCCUAGCCAUUCCUACCUCAGUCACAGCCACCAGCACUGGACAAUGGGAUUUCAAAAGAGAAACCAGGAACAACAAUAAAAUGUCCCUAUCCCAUGACCCUGCCAGUUCUUCAGAAAAAUGAACUCUCCCAAAGUGACAAGGUAUCCUAGUAGAGGCAUCAGAAGGCUCCUGACCUUAGGAGAGUGCUGCCACCCAUUGGUCCCAUCAGAGAGAAGAGGGGCCUAGUUACCUGCUCCUAUCAGAAGCUGUCUGGGACCUAAGCCUGUUUUCUCCAGAACUUGAAAACCCAGAAAAGCAAGUUGUUCCAGGAAAAGUCCUUCGUUGAUUCAGAGAGACCGUCUGGCCAGAAGCUCCUGAGAUCCUCUGGUAUCUCUGCCUUGCCAUUGUUAGGGUUUCGGCUUCUUCCACUACAGCCAACAUUUUACAUGAGUGCCAGGGAUUCGGACGCAGGUCCUCAUGCUUUUGUGCAAGCACUUCCUCAUGAUUGUAGCUUACAAUAGAAUCAGUUCAGGAAAGAUUGACUGUUACCAGCUAAAAACAGAAGUUGUCCACAGAAAUCUUCAAAGUCCAGAUCCUCCCUCCAGCCCUCGAUGGGUAAGACAAGGGCUCAGAGGCAAGAGCUCGCUGCAUAAUUAGCUUGCUCUGGUCCAGUCAAGUCUCACCAUUUAAGAAGAGGAUGUGCGCAAACAGAGGCUGAAGAGGUGGACCUGAUGUGUGUCACAGAUUGGGUAACCCGGUCCUGAGUAAAGGCAGAUACUUGCAACAAUGUCAUUUAGAAAUAACCUAGGGCAACAGAUCUCUCCUGUAAAGCAACUUUGGGACGCUCGUGUAUUGGCCUCAUAUACAUAUUCCAGAAGGUACUGGGAUGCUGGUUCCCUACUAACGGAUAUGGAAAACUGGUAUGGUCUUUGCAGGAUUCUGUGAGUCUUUGGGCAUCUCUGGAAAGCUGUUGUCAGACCAUAAUAUAAUAGAGUUCCCUGUGUGCCAGCCCCCACACUGCUGCAUACACAUUUCAAAGGUAGAUUUUUUUUUUGUUCCCUUCAGCAUAAAGAAUGAUUACC
rnacentral:lncRNA from 1 species